rnacentral:tRNA from 1 species
GAUAUUUAGUUUAAAUAAAACAAGUGAUUUCGACUCACUAGAUUAUGAAUAAAUUCAUAAUUAUCA